rnacentral:rRNA from 1 species
UGCGUAGGCGGCGCGGUAAGUCGGGUGUGAAAUCUCGGAGCUUAACUCCGAAACUGCAUUCGAUACUGCCGUGCUUGAGGACUGGGGAGGAGACUGGAAUUUACGGUGUAGCGGUGAAAUGCGUAGAUAUCGUAAGGAAGACCAGUGGCGAAGGCGGGUCUCUGGACAGUUCCUGACGCUGAGGCACGAAGGCCAGGGGAGCAAACG